CCUACGGGAGGCAGCAGUGAGGAAUAUUGGUCAAUGGACGAGAGUCUGAACCAGCCAAGUAGCGUGACGGAUGACUGCCCUAUGGGUUGUAAACUUCUUUUAUAUGGGAAUAAAACGUUCCACGUGUGGGAUUUUGUAUGUACCAUAUGAAUAAGGAUCGGCUAACUCCGUGCCAGCAGCCGCGGUAAUACGGAGGAUCCGAGCGUUAUCCGGAUUUAUUGGGUUUAAAGGGAGCGUAGGUGGAUUGUUAAGUCAGUUGUGAAAGUUUGCGGCUCAACCGUAAAAUUGCAGUUGAAACUGGCAGUCUUGAGUACAGUAGAGGAGGGCGGAAUUCGUGGUGUAGCGGUGAAAUGCUUAGAUAUCACGAAGAACUCCGAUUGCGAAGGCAGUUCACUGGACUGCAACUGACACUGAGGCUCGAAAGUGUGGGUAUCAAACAGGAUUAGAUACCCGAGUAGUC
rnacentral:rRNA from 1 species